AACGAACGCUGGCGGCAUGCCUAACACAUGCAAGUCGAACGAGACCUUCGGGUCUAGUGGCGCACGCGUGCGUAACGCGUGGGAACCUGCCCUUAGGUUCGGAAUAACACCCCGAAAGGGGUGCUAAUACCGGAUAAUGUCUUCGGACCACAGAUUUGUCGCCUUUGUAUGGGCCCGCGUUGGUUUAGCUAGUUGCUAGGGUAAAAGCCUACCAAGGCGACGCUACAUAGCUGGUCUGAGAGGAUGAGCAGCCACACUGGGACUGAGACACGGCCCAGACUACUGCGGGAGGCAGCAGUGGGGAAUACUGGAAAAUGGGCGAAAUCCUGAUCCAGUAAGGCCGCGUGAGUGAUGAAGGCCUUAGGGUUGUAAAGCUCUUUUACCCGGGAUGAUAAUGACAGUACCGAGAGAAUAAGCACCGGCUAACUCCGUG
rnacentral:rRNA from 1 species